rfam:Ictidomys tridecemlineatus contig027854, whole genome shotgun sequence.
UGGGAUGUGGCUCAGUGACAGGGCACUUGCCCGGUGUGCAUGAGGUCCUGGGUUCAAUCCCCAGCCACACAA